CACGUAGGGCGCAAGCGUUGUCCGGAAUUAUUGGGCGUAAAGAGCUCGUAGGUGGUUUGUUACGUCUGCUGUGAAAACCUAGGGCUUAACCCUGGGCUUGCAGUGGAUACGGGCAGACUAGAGGUAGGUAGGGGAGAAUGGAAUUCCUGGUGUAGCGGUGAAAUGCGCAGAUAUCAGGAGGAACACCGGUGGCGAAGGCGGUUCUCUGGGCCGACACUGACGCUGAUGCGCGAAAGCCAGGGGAGCGAACGGG
rnacentral:rRNA from 1 species